GAUCAUGGCUCAGGACGAACGCUGGCGGCGCGCCUAACACAUGCAAGUCGAGGGGCAUCAGGUAUCAGCUUGCUGAUACGCUGGCGACCGGCGCACGGGUGAGUAACGCGUAUGCAAUCUGCCUGUAACAGGGGGAUAACCCGGAGAAAUCCGGCCUAAUACCCCAUAGGGAUGUCUGUCCGCAUGGGCGGUCAUCUAAAGGUUUUCCGGUUACAGAUGGGCAUGCGUUCCA
rnacentral:rRNA from 1 species